GACAGCUUGGCGGAGUGGUCGAUCGCGCGUGACUUGAAAUCACGUUCCCUUUGGGAGCGCAGGUUCGAAUCCUGCAGCUGUCG